rnacentral:rRNA from 1 species
UACGGAGGGUGCAAGCGUUGUCCGGAAUCAUUGGGUUUAAAGGGUGCGUAGGCGGCCUGUUAAGUCAGGGGUGAAAGACGGUGGCUCAACCAUCGCAGUGCCCUUGAUACUGAUGGGCUUGAUUUCAGUUGAGGUAGGCGGAAUGUGACAAGUAGCGGUGAAAUGCAUAGAUAUGUCACAGAACACCGAUUGCGAAGGCAGCUUACUAAAGUGAUAAUGACGCUGAGGCACGAAAGCGUGGGGAUCAAACAGG